rnacentral:rRNA from 1 species
UACGAAGGGGACUAGCGUUGUUCGGAUUUACUGGGCGUAAAGCGCGCGUAGGCGGACCUGCGAGUCGAGGGUGAAAGCCCGAGGCUCAACCUCGGAACUGCCUUCGAUACUGCGGGUCUCGAGUCCGGGAGAGGUGAGUGGAAUUCCUAGUGUAGAGGUGAAAUUCGUAGAUAUUAGGAAGAACACCAGUGGCGAAGGCGGCUCACUGGCCCGGUACUGACGCUGAGGCGCGAAAGCGUGGGGAGCAAACAGG